GAUUAUUACAUUGAUUGGCUCGGUUAACCUUUAUAUCUAAUUAAACGUGCUUUGCGUAUAACAAAUUAGUAAUCCUGCUAAAAGAUUUUAUUAUAUGUUCACUACAAGUCAAGACAGAUUUUCUGUUCACUGCAAGCCAAGGGAUCUUUUUUUAUAUUAAUAAUUCAUGUGUUAGCAAUGGUAUUGGUUGGUUGUUGGUAUUGCAAACAGGUGGAUAGUCCGAUAAACAGAGGAGAUGAUGCCGAAUUUUCGUUAGGAAUUAUAUGUAUUUAAUGGCUAUAAAAAGGGGUUAUUUGUGCAAUUAUGUGUUAUGUGUUUAUCUGCCUAUGUGGUAUGUAUAUGCGAAGGGUAGAUAUAUAUAGGUCUUAAUACUUUUCAGAGUUAGUUAAUUUGUCUGAUCCGACGGUUAAAAUACUAUUUUACUAUCGUAUAGAAUUGAAGACAUUGACCGAGGCAUUGAUCGAGAAGUGAUUGAAAUGGGUAUCCAGAAUUAGCCAAGUAGUGUUGCAAGUUGAAGUAGGGCGGAGAUUUGUUAUAGAUAAAAGCUUGUCAGAAGCUGGCAGAAAGGAAUGAUAUGGCGGUAUAUAGUAUUAUUAGAAAUCUGACCUAGACACCAGAGUUAAGGCAAGUACUUCUACCUUUCUCUCGCAAUUUAGAAGCAAGUAUUUCUACCCUACUCCUCUAGUACCUAUAGAUACUAAAACCUUCUUUAUAUCAUGAUUCAAAUUAUUUGCAAUUACUUUCUUGUGAAGCAUAUCUAGUACUUUUAAACCUUUUGGUUGAACGGAUAACACUUUUGGUAUCGACUCUACACUAUGAUAUGCAUAAAGAAAUUGUUUUAACAAAAUGUUGUUCUGGCUCUUGAAUUACAUGAUAGAACUGCAGAUUGUUUUAAAAAUUAAACUGUUGGGUUGUUUUUGCGUAAGAGGCUCGGGCACCGGCCCAGCGUGAAAGGUGGCUCCUUAAGCCCGGAUUACCGGAAUUCGUAAUAUUUGUCAACCUUGCUGAAUAAGCUUGGUUUAUGGACUAUAGCAUGACUGAUCAUCUGUUAUAGCCAGGUGUCCAAUUAAUUUUAAAGCCCAAUAAAAUUGUGAAUAGUUUAAAAAGAAGUUACCCUGCCUUCAAGAGAUAUUUGCUUAUACAUUCAUUUCUGCAGUUUUAAAUAUUUUCACUUCUUUAUUAUGGCAUUGCUGUACAACAAAUAUCAAUUUCAUUUUGUUAUUCUUGCUGAGCAUUAUUGCUCAUUCUUGCUAUUCCUUCUAACCCUUUUCAGCUAGGAAUAAAGAUGAUUCACUUAAGACUAGGCAAGGAUUGCAAGUGGUUGAGUUUCAAGCAGAUGGACAGGUAGAGUAUUUAGGACGAUGUCAUUAAGACUAGAUGCAGUUGGAGUUCUGCAAUUCAAUUCAGUUGGAAAUUAGAUUUGUUUAUUUGGUUAUCAGCUACUCUUCUUAUCGAGGUUUAGCUGAUAAUGUUGUUUAAUUUGUAAAUAAGAUUUUAUAGUUUUAGUUUCUGAUUUCAAUGCUGUAGCCUGUAUGCGAUCCUGUUUUCAGGGGGUGAAAUUGAUUUUGAAUUAAAGACCUUCUUUUAAAAAAAUAAUAUCCAGGUUUAGAAAUACUUGUUUUUACUUUCUUCCAAAAAUACAGGUUUUAAAUUGUUUUUCUUUUAAUGGCUCAAAACUACAGGUUUUAAAUUAUUUUUAUUUACACGUGGCACCAGAUCUAGACCCCCGGAUUUGAGGGAUGUCACAGUUGGUAUCAGAGCUACAGGUUAUAAGUUAUUGAAAUCAGAAUGUAGGUUGUAACUUGUCUAAUAAGAUAGACACGUUAAGUGAAACCUCACAUAUAGGUAAGUUCAGAUUAGUGGUGUAACCUCAUAUAGAGGUAUCGUAAGACUAUUUGGGGAUAGUCCUUUUGAGCAUAAUAAAAUGAAGCUAAACGAUUAUGUUUAAGUGAUUAUGGUUAUAGACACAACAAUUCCUAAUUCUAGUUCUUCCAGUCCCUAGUGGCCUAGUUUAUUGACCAAUUCAGAUUUAUAUCAUUGUAAGAGGGUCAAAGUUAGACCUAUCAACAGAACCUUCAAGCUAGAACCAGUAGAGAUUCUCACACAGUCUAAUGUAUCCUUUAUAGUAUCUUCCAAGUGUUGAGUAUUAUUUGAAGAGUCACCUUUUGAUUCUUGUCAGAGAUAUCUAGAAUUGGUGAAAGAAUAGAGGUGUUAACAAGUCCGAGUUUACAGCUUUGUAUAUAGUUAAGUAGUGAGCGUUAGAGCUACGUAGAGUUUGUGUUAGAUUAUUCGAUCUAGUACUUAUGUGUGAGUUAAGAUGUCAACGCUCUAUGGUGAUGAUUGUAUAAAGUUGGAUAAGACUUUUGACCGACAACGAUAUCAAUGAUGGGAUCUUCAGAGGCUAUUACUAGUCAACGAUAAUAUAUGCAAGUGGUCACUAAAACGUCAAGAAAAAUCACUAGAAUCAGAACGAGUCAUCAAAAGAAUCGAUCAAAAAGACAUCUGUGAGAAUCCUGGCAAUACCUUCCUCAUUGUUGAUAUAUUGAUUUCUUUCCCCAUCAAUGAUUUGUUCUGACAUCACUUUAAAAAAAAAAAAUAUUUGAUAAAGAGUAUAUUUUUACCUUUCACUCGAGUUCUCGAAUGAUACUUGUGCUUACUGUCACACCUAUAGAAUCUAUUCAAUCUUGGUAAUUUCGAACCCUUUCAUAUUCUUUACUCUAACUGAGAUGAACAACCCUACCUAUAGGGGACACAAGGACUACCUGUCUGUGUGAUAGGAGUUGGAUGGGACGCCAUCACUUGUGUGUGUUGUACAUUACAAGAAGGUUAACUACCUUUAGUAGUGUCUUAAAUUAGACACGCAACACCGAGUUCUAUAGACCAUAUUGAUCUCUCAGUUAUUCAUUUAUUUCAAUCACGUAACACUUGCUCCAAUAUGUGAAAUCUGUCAUAUCUUUUACCUUCAAGAUUCUUCUAAUCUCUAAUAGUUGGAGGUAUGCCAACCGAGUUGCCAAUAUGAAUUAAGACUUUGUAGUAAGAAGCACCAGGGAUGAAAGCGAAUGACAAUGCUGGUUAUAUCAGAAAGGAAUAUUAUGGAUUAUAGAGAUCGUACACUCUAGUUUUCUUUUUGAUGAUUCCGAGGACGGAAUCUUUUUAAGGGGGGUAGAUUGUGACGACCCGGAUUUUCAGAAAUUAUUUUAUUAUUUUUAUUCAUGAUUAUUCGAGACAAAUGAGGAAUAAAUUUCAAUAUUUUAUUCUAGUUUGAUAAUUUUCAAAAAUAUUUGUUUAAAUUAUUUUCCUAGUCAUUGUGAUUAUGAGAAAAUAUCUGUUGAUUGUACAAUUAUAUGUUACGAGAUUUAAUUGAAUUAGUUGUCUACUAUUAUGUCUGUGUGUGCAUUUAUUUUUACUUUUAAUAUUACUGUAUUGUUUUAUUGAAAUUUAUUAUCCUCUUAAAUGGAUAUUUAUUUUUGUAAAAAUACAAAGAUAAUUUCAAAAAUUAUUUUAAUUGCUCGAUAGUGAUCAUAAAUAUGUUUAGAAGUUUUUAAAAUAUUAAAAAUCCAAUUUCUACAAGGACAUGAUUUUUAAUUAGUUUCUAAACGCAGCUAACUUCUUAAUUUUGUAUAAAUUUUGAAAAUGCUCUAUAAAUCUUGAAACUUUUAUUUUAUGAGUUUUAUAAUAUUCGGUAAUUUAUAAAAUUAGUUUGUUAAUUUUUCGAGAAAGUUUUAAUGCGAGUUAUCCCGUAAAUCAACUAAAUAGCGGGUGUUUGGAUGAUUAUUCAGCUUAAAAUAAAACGUGGCAGCCUUUGGCCAAACCACGUGCCCUGCUUUUCACCACCGCCAUCCCUUUUCUUCAUUUUAUAUACAUCAGCCUCUCAAUCUCUCUCUCUCUCUCUCUGUGAAAUCCUCCAUCUCUCCCUCUCCGCUCCUCUUUCUUUUCUCACCCAUCUUCCUCUCUUUCUUGGCAUCACCGUCCCUUCCCUGCAGCCGCCGAAUUAUGCCGUUAUGCCGCUGCCACCUCUUUCCAGCGACCACCAUAGCCCUGCACCAAUUAUAAAUCAGUGGGUGUAAAGCUUAAUUUCUCUUUGUCAAAUCAGUUCUAUAUAAACGUAUAUAUACAUGUGGUGUUGUGUUUAUAUGGAUUAAAUUGAUUUAUAUAAUCGAUUUAUGUGUGCUUGUAUGUAUAUAAACUGAUUAUAUGCUGGUUUUUGAAAUUUGAAGGUUGAUUGAAUUUUUGAGAUUGAGAUUGGUGUUAGUAAUCGUAUGAUUGAAUUGUGUGCUUAAUUGAUAUUUGAAUUGGUUGUUGUAAGUUGAUUAUAAAUAGUGCGCCAAUUAGUAGUGUAAUCGGAUGACUUGGGUACUUGAAUUAUGGGAAUAUAUAACUGAGUAUUCAAGCUUUAAGGUCUGAGAUUUUUGUAAAUGUUUUCAAAGUGGUGUUUUAAGAGUUUAAGUAUUGGGCUAAAAAAAAAUUUUGAUUUACACAUAUUCGGUUGAAUUCUAGAUUGCUGUUGAUCUGUUUUGAAUUACAACUCUGGGAUCAUAGAGUUGAAUUAUAUGCUUAAUAUUUGUGUGGUUAUGUGCUCCUUAGAGUCUAGUUUAUGUGCGCGAAAGAACCGAAUCGAUUCGAUUAGCGAGCUAGGAGAUAUGACCGUUUUAGUAUAGUAUGGUGCUGAAAAUUCUGGGCAGGUUUGUCCUGUUCCAGGCUCUGUUUUACAGCUUUAAACUUGGAUUUUCUUUCUGAAAAUUUUACUGUAGGUUGGAAUAAUAUUUAGGAGUGUCUCAUAAAAAUUUCGUAUUAAAAAGAUAAUUUUUCAAUUUAUUAAAAAUCAUAGACCGAGGGCUGUUUGAACUAUUUGUUCUAUUUUUCUUUCUUUGCUAGUGCAUAGUAUGAGGUUAUACUUGACUAAUUGCAUAUGAUUGAUUAUUACAUUGAUUGGCUCGGUUAACCUUGUAUAUCUAAUUAAAAGUGUUUUGCGUAUAACAAGUUAGCAAUCCUGCUAAAAGAUUUUAUUAUAUGUUUACUACAAGUCAAGACAGAUUUUCUUAUGUGUUUACUGCAAGUCAAGGGAUCUUUUUAUAUUAAUAAUUCAUGUGUUAGCAAUAGUAUUGGUUGGUUGUUGGCAUUGCAAACAGGUGGAUAAGCUUAUAAACAGAGGAGAUGCUGCCGAAUUUUCGUUAGAAAUUAUAUGGAUUUAAUGCCUAUAAAAAGGGUUGUUUGUACAACUAUGUGCUAUGUGUUUAUGUGACUGUGGUAUGUAUAUGCGAAGGGUAGAUAUAUAUAUAGGUCUUAAUGCAAUUCAGGGUUAGUCAAUAUGUCUAAUCCGACGACUGAAAUACUAUUUUAUCAUCGUAUAGAAUUGAAGACAUUGACCGAGGCAUUAAUCGAGAAGUGAUUGAAAGGGGUAUUCAGAAAUAGCCAAGCAGAAUGUUACAAGUUGAAGUAGGACGGAGAUUUGUUAUAGAUAAAAGUGUGUCAGAAGCUGGCAGAAAGGAAUGAUUAUGCGGUAUAUAGUGUUACUAGGAAUCUGAGCUAAACUUUGGAGUUAAGGCAAGUACUUCUACCUUCUCUCGCAAUUUAGAAGCAAGUAUUUCUACCCUACUCCUCUAGUACCUAUAGAUACUAAAACCUUCUUUAUAUCAUGAUUCAAAUUAUUUGCAAUUACUUUCUUGUGAAGCAUAUCUAGUACUUUUAAACUUUUUGGUUGAACGGAUAACACUUUUGGUAUCAACUCUACACUAUGAUAUGCAUAAAGAAAUUGUUUUAACAAAAUGUUAUUCUGGCUCUUGAAUUACAUGAUGGAACUGCAGAUUGUUUUAAAAAUUAAACUAUUGGGUUGUUUUUGCGUAAGAGGCUCGGGCACCGGCCCAGCGUGAAAGGUGGCUCCUUAAGCCCGGAUUACCGGAAUUCGUAAUAUUUGUCAACCUUGCUGAAUAAGCUUGGUUUAUGGACUAUAGCAUGACUGAUCAUCUGUUAUAGCCAGGUGUCCAAUUAUUUUUAAAGCCCAAUAAAAUUGUGAAUAGUUUAAAAAGAAGUUACCCUGCCUUCAAGAGAUAUUUGCUUAUACAUUCAUUUCUGCAGUUUUAAAUAUUUUCACUUCUUUAUUAUGGCAUUGCUGUACAACAAAUAUCAAUUUCAUUUUGUUAUUCUUGCUGAGCAUUAUUGCUCAUUCUUGCUAUUCCUUCUAACCCUUUUCAGCUAGGAAUAAAGAUGAUUCACUUAAGACUAGGCAAGGAUUGCAAGUGGUUGAGUUUCAAGCAGAUGGACAGGUAGAGUAUUUAGGACGAUGUCAUUAAGACUAGAUGCAGUUGGAGUUCUGCAAUUCAAUUCAGUUGGAAAUUAGAUUUGUUUAUUUGGUUAUCAGCUACUCUUCUUAUCGAGGUUUAGCUGAUAAUGUUGUUUAAUUUGUAAAUAAGAUUUUAUAGUUUUAGUUUCUGAUUUCAAUGCUGUAGCCUGUAUGCGAUCCUGUUUUCAGGGGGUGAAAUUGAUUUUGAAUUAAAGACCUUCUUUUAAAAAAAAAAAAUAUCCAGGUUUAGAAAUACUUGUUUUUACUUUCUUCCAAAAAUACAGGUUUUAAAUUGUUUUUCUUUUAAUGGCUCAAAACUACAGGUUUUAAAUUAUUUUUAUUUACACGUGGCACCAGAUCUAGACCCCCGGAUUUGAGGGAUGUCACAGUUGGUAUCAGAGCUACAGGUUAUAAGUUAUUGAAAUCAGAAUGUAGGUUGUAACUUGUCUAAUAAGAUAGACACGUUAAGUGAAACCUCACAUAUAGGUAAGUUCAGAUUAGUGGUGUAACCUCAUAUAGAGGUAUCGUAAGACUAUUUGGGGAUAGUCCUUUUGAGCAUAAUAAAAUGAAGCUAAACGAUUAUGUUUAAGUGAUUAUGGUUAUAGACACAACAAUUCCUAAUUCUAGUUCUUCCAGUCCCUAGUGGCCUAGUUUAUUGACCAAUUCAGAUUUAUAUCAUUGUAAGAGGGUCAAAGUUAGACCUAUCAACAGAACCUUCAAGCUAGAACCAGUAGAGAUUCUCACACAGUCUAAUGUAUCCUUUAUAGUAUCUUCCAAGUGUUGAGUAUUAUUUGAAGAGUCACCUUUUGAUUCUUGUCAGAGAUAUCUAGAAUUGGUGAAAGAAUAGAGGUGUUAACAAGUCCGAGUUUACAGCUUUGUAUAUAGUUAAGUAGUGAGCGUUAGAGCUACGUAGAGUUCGUGUUAGAUUAUUCGAUCUAGUACUUAUGUGUGAGUUAAGACGUCAACGCUCUAUGGUGAUGAUUGUAUAAAGUUGGAUAAGACUUUUGACCGACAACGAUAUCAAUGAUGGGAUCUUCAGAGGCUAUUACUAGUCAACGAUAAUAUAUGCAAGUGGUCACUAAAACGUCAAGAAGAAUCACUAGAAUCAGAACGAGUCAUCAAAAGAAUCGAUCAAGAAGACAUCUGUGAGAAUCCUGGCAAUACCUUCCUCAUUGUUGAUAUAUUGAUUUCUUUCCCCAUCAAUGAUUUGUUCUGACAUCACUUAAAAAAAAAAAUAUUUGAUAAAGAGUAUAUUUUUACCUUUCACUCGAGUUCUCGAAUGAUACUUGUGCUUACUGUCAGACCUAUAGAAUCUAUUCAAUCUUGGUAAUUUCGAACCCUUUCAUAUUCUCUACUCUAACUGAGAUGAACAACCCUACCUAUAGGGGACACAAGGACUACCUGUCUGUGUGAUAGGAGUUGGAUGGGACGCCAUCACUUGUGUGUGUUGUACAUUACAAGAAGGUUAACUACCUUUAGUAGUGUCUUAAAUUAGACACGCAACACCGAGUUCUAUAGACCAUAUUGAUCUCUCAGUUAUUCAUUUAUUUCAAUCACGUAACACUUGCUCCAAUAUGUGAAAUCUGUCAUAUCUUUUACCUUCAAGAUUCUUCUAAUCUCUAAUAGUUGGAGGUAUGCCAACCGAGUUGCCAAUAUGAAUUAAGACUUUGUAGUAAGAAGCACCAGGGAUGAAAGCGAAUGACAAUGCUGGUUAUAUCAGAAAGGAAUAUUAUGGAUUAUAGAGAUCGUACGCUCUAGUUUUCUUUUUGAUGAUUCCGAGGACGGAAUCUUUUUAAGGGGGGUAGAUUGUGACGACCCGGAUUUUCAGAAAUUAUUUUAUUAUUUUUAUUCAUGAUUAUUCGAGACAAAUGAGGAAUAAAUUUCAAUAUUUUAUUCUAGUUUGAUAAUUUUCAAAAAUAUUUGUUUAAAUUAUUUUCCUAGUCAUUGUGAUUAUGAGAAAAUAUCUGUUGAUUGUACAAUUAUAUGUUACGAGAUUUAAUUGAAUUAGUUGUCUACUAUUAUGUCUGUGUGUGCAUUUAUUUUUACUUUUAAUAUUACUGUAUUGUUUUAUUGAAAUUUAUUAUCCUCUUAAAUGGAUAUUUAUUUUUGUAAAAAUACAAAGAUAAUUUCAAAAAUUAUUUUAAUUGCUCGAUAGUGAUCAUAAAUAUGUUUAGAAGUUUUUAAAAUAUUAAAAAUCCAAUUUCUACAAGGACAUGAUUUUUAAUUAGUUUCUAAACGCAGCUAACUUCUUAAUUUUGUAUAAAUUUUGAAAAUGCUCUAUAAAUCUUGAAACUUUUAUUUUAUGAGUUUUAUAAUAUUCGGUAAUUUAUAAAAUUAGUUUGUUAAUUUUUCGAGAAAGUUUUAAUGCGAGUUAUCCCGUAAAUCAACUAAAUAGCGGGUGUUUGGAUGAUUAUUCAGCUUAAAAUAAAACGUGGCAGCCUUUGGCCAAACCACGUGCCCUGCUUUUCACCACCGCCAUCCCUUUUCUUCAUUUUAUAUACAUCAGCCUCUCAAUCUCUCUCUCUCUCUCUCUGUGAAAUCCUCCAUCUCUCCCUCUCCGCUCCUCUUUCUUUUCUCACCCAUCUUCCUCUCUUUCUUGGCAUCACCGUCCCUUCCCUGCAGCCGCCGAAUUAUGCCGCUGCCACCUCUUUCCGGCGACCACCAUAGCCCUGCACCAAUUAUAAAUCAGUGGGUAUAAAGCUUAAUUUCUCUUUGUCAAAUCAGUUCUAUAUAAACGUAUAUAUACAUGUGGUGUUGUGUUUAUAUGGUUUAAUUUGAUUUAUAUAAUCGAUUUAUGUGUGCUUGUAUGUAUAUAAACUGAUUAUAUGCUGGUUAUUGAAAUUUGAAGGUUGAUUGAAUUUUUGAGAUUGAGAUUGGUGUUAGUAAUCGUAUGAUUGAAUUGUGUGCUUAAUUGAUAUUUGAAUUGGUUGUUGGAGGUUCAUUAUAAAUGGUGCGCCAACUAGUAGUGUAAUCGGAUGACUUGGGUACUUGAUUUAUGGGAAUAUAUAACUGAGUAUUAAAGCUUUAAGGUCUGAGAUUUUGUGUAAAUGUUUUCAGAAUGGUGUUUUAAGAGUUUAAGUAUUGAGCUAAAAAAAAUUUAGAUUUACACAUAAUCGGUUGAAUUGUAAGUUGCUGCUGAUCUGUUUUGCAGUAAAAUUCUGGGCUUCUAGAGUCGAAUUAUAUGCUUAAUAUUUUUGUGGUUAUGUGCUCCUCAGAGUCUAGUUUAUGUGCGCAAAAGAAUCGAAUCAAUUCGAUUAGCGAGCUAGGAGAUAUGACCGUUUUAGUAUAGUAUGGUGCUGAAAAUUCUGGGCAGGUUUGUCCUGUUCCAGGCUCUGUUUUACAGCUUUAAACUUGGAUUUUCUUUCUGAAAAUUUUACUGUAGGUUGGAAUAAUAUUUAGGAGUGUCUCAUAAAAAUUUCGUAUUUAAAAGAUAAAUUUUCAAUUUAUUAAAAAUCAUAGACCGAGGGCUGUUUGAACUAUUUGUUCUAUUUUUCUUUCUUUGCUAGUGCAUAGUAUGAGGUUAUACUUGACUAAUUGCAUAUGAUUGAUUAUUACAUUGAUUGGCUCGGUUAACCUUGUAUAUCUAAUUAAAAGUGUUUUGCGUAUAACAAGUUAGCAAUCCUGCUAAAAGAUUUUAUUAUAUGUUUACUACAAGUCAAGACAGAUUUUCUUAUGUGUUUACUGCAAGUCAAGGGAUCUUUUUAUAUUAAUAAUUCAUGUGUUAGCAAUAGUAUUGGUUGGUUGUUGGCAUUGCAAACAGGUGGAUAAGCUUAUAAACAGAGGAGAUGCUGCCGAAUUUUCGUUAGAAAUUAUAUGGAUUUAAUGCCUAUAAAAAGGGUUGUUUGUACAACUAUGUGCUAUGUGUUUAUGUGACUGUGGUAUGUAUAUGCGAAGGGUAGAUAUAUAUAUAGGUCUUAAUGCAAUUCAGGGUUAGUCAAUAUGUCUAAUCCGACGACUGAAAUACUAUUUUAUCAUCGUAUAGAAUUGAAGACAUUGACCGAGGCAUUAAUCGAGAAGUGAUUGAAAGGGGUAUUCAGAAAUAGCCAAGCAGAAUGUUACAAGUUGAAGUAGGACGGAGAUUUGUUAUAGAUAAAAGUGUGUCAGAAGCUGGCAGAAAGGAAUGAUUAUGCGGUAUAUAGUGUUACUAGGAAUCUGAGCUAAACUUUGGAGUUAAGGCAAGUACUUCUACCUUCUCUCGCAAUUUAGAAGCAAGUAUUUCUACCCUACUCCUCUAGUACCUAUAGAUACUAAAACCUUCUUUAUAUCAUGAUUCAAAUUAUUUGCAAUUACUUUCUUGUGAAGCAUAUCUAGU
rnacentral:lncRNA from 1 species